UACGAAGGGUGCAAGCGUUAUUCGGAGUUACUGGGCGUAAAGAGCGCGUAGGCGGCAUCUUAAGUCAUAUGUUAAAUUUCCCGGCUUAACCGGGAACCUGCAUGUGAUACUGGGAAGCUAGAGUGUAAGAGAGAGAAGCGGAAUUCUCGGAGUAGCGGUAAAAUGCGUAGAUCUCGAGAGGAACACCGGAGGCGAAGGCGGCUUCUUGGCUUAUAACUGACGCUCAAGUGCGAAAGCGUGGGGAGCAAACAGG
rnacentral:rRNA from 1 species